rnacentral:lncRNA from 1 species
AAGCACCGAUUGCAAUUAUAAGUUGCGCAUGUAGAUAUCGGUCUUCUCCCGACAUGCGCUCUGAUGACGGGUCCAUUUCCGCCAACUUAGGGUGAGAGUUAAGAGCCGGAGCCCUGUUGCCACCUGCAAAAUGCCUUAGCAGCAUGUGGCAACUAUCUGCCCGAAGCAAGUUGCAAGCCAGCCCAGUUCAGGUUGCCACAUGCCAUGCUGGGUAUUCCCAGCGCGCUAGCGCACCUGCUUGGGCAGCUCGCUAUGGCUGCCGUCGACAGUUGACCCUGGUAUGCCAUCGCUAGAGUCGCAGCCCGCUCCGGCCAACCUCGCUCCUCCGCAACCGACACACGAACCCGACGUCACUUGAUCCCACAAUUCCAGCGACUUUUGCGACCGGCUCUCCACCGACCGCUUGGAUGCUUGCGCCCGGUCGCUGCCCCAGCUACUUCCGCGGUGAAAUAACAACGGUGAGCACUCUCAACCACUGCGAGGACAGCCCUAGCAACCGCACUGCGUAAGAAGUACAGCAUCGAUUUGCUGCAUGUUGAUUUUGGCGCAAAUGGGGGGUGCAAGCAGUUUGUUUCUCUCAGACGCGAGCUAGCGCCCAAGCGCGCGAUAUGGGGGCGAGGAGCCACUAUGUAGCUGUAACGAUUGCAUGAGUGGCGAAUUUUACUUCGAGGGUCUAGGGUGCGAGCGGAGUGGGAUUACCCCCCGAGGGGCACGCCAUGCGCGCAGGCCCCAUGCAACAGAAAUUCGCCGGGCACCAACCCACGCACAGAUAAUUCAUAGGACUACACCAUAGCCAUCAGAGACCGGCCGGGAACAAGCCCCGCAAGCGGGGCAGCAUGGGCGCGACACCACCCUGCCGCGCCAACUCACCCCAAACACGCCCCAACCACUUGUGCGACACAAGGGCUACCAUACAGUAGCGCGCGACACCUAAUCGCGUGCGCCGGAGUGUGCGAGCAAACAUUGUACGGCUAAGCUCGUUUGGGCCCUAGGACGCAGGGCCUGGCCUGGCAUUUGGUGCAUUCAAUAGAGCAUAGAAAACCGAGGCCACAUAUGUGCUGGGGUGCGCAAAGGUCGGCGGAAUUGUGGGAUCAAGUGACGUGGAAAUGGAUCUGGGGGACUGCGGGGUUUUGGGGUGUGUUGGGUUGGUGGCGUGAAGGGUGUGAUUUGUGAGGAAUUUAUCGAUGCAUGCCAAGUUGCACGCCUUUCCCCUGUGUUUCCUACAUGCCCCUGAACCCUCCCUUUGCUGGCUGCAGGCGAAGCGACAAGUGGUACCGCUGGUACCACCCACGGGGGCCUUGUGCCCAGGCCGUGGUGGCGCAUGGUAACUAUACACGUGGCGGUCAUCGACAUUGCUUUGUGCCGGCGCGCAGCACCCAGGAUGUGCGGCAAUCGCUGAAAUGCAGUUGUGGGGUCCACACUCAUACGGCACCCACGCCCCACAAAGCACUGAUGCAGGGCUCCUGCAGCCGUCACGCCAUGGGAAUCAGCACAUGGGCAGUGGCCUGUGCAUACUUCUCUGUGGCCUGGCGGGGCAUCUGGCCAGGGCGUUUGACUAGCGGCAUGGGGCCUGCACGCCGGUACGGGGGCGCAGGCCCAAAAUGAUGCAAGGAAGCUGAUGUGUUGCGUGAGGUGCGCAGCGGUUCCUGAUGGACGUGGGUGCUGUCAUGCGUAUGUAUGUUGGCUAUGUGUGUUGUUCUUUGCGCCAGGGUGGUGUCGCCGCGCAGCGGAGCAUUGGCGUUGAUGCACGGGGCGUGAACAUUGGGGCCCGCAAUUGGGUUCGCGCCGGCACGGUCGCGGGCAUCGCUGAAGAUAUGUUGGCGCGACCGGUCGCUUAUGGUGCACGCUAAUACCCGCAUACUGUGCGUAAGCACCGAUUGCAAUUAUAAGUUGCGCAUGUAGAUAUCGGUCUUCUCCCGACAUGCGCUCUGAUGACGGGUCCAUUUCCGCCAACUUAGGGUGAGAGUUAAGAGCCGGAGCCCUGUUGCCACCUGCAAAAUGCCUUAGCAGCAUGUGGCAACUAUCUGCCCGAAGCAAGUUGCAAGCCAGCCCAGUUCAGGUUGCCACAUGCCAUGCUGGGUAUUCCCAGCGCGCUAGCGCACCUGCUUGGGCAGCUCGCUAUGGCUGCCGUCGACAGUUGACCCUGGUAUGCCAUCGCUAGAGUCGCAGCCCGCUCCGGCCAACCUCGCUCCUCCGCAACCGACACACGAACCCGACGUCACUUGAUCCCACAAUUCCAGCGACUUUUGCGACCGGCUCUCCACCGACCGCUUGGAUGCUUGCGCCCGGUCGCUGCCCCAGCUA